UACGGGGGGGGCAAGCGUUGUUCGGAAUUACUGGGCGUAAAGGGCUCGUAGGCGGCCAACUAAGUCAGACGUGAAAUCCCUCGGCUUAACCGGGGAACUGCAUCUGAUACUGGAUGGCUUGAGUUCGGGAGAGGGAUGCGGAAUUCCAGGUGUAGCGGUGAAAUGCGUAGAUAUCUGGAGGAACACCGAUGGCGAAGGCAGCCCCCUGGGUUAACACUGACGCUCAGGCACGAAAGCGUGGGGAGCAAACAGG
rnacentral:rRNA from 1 species